rnacentral:tRNA from 1 species
CAGGGGUUAGUUUAUUAAAAAUAUCGGUUUUGGAGACCGAUGAUAGGUUACCCCUAUCCCUGA